rnacentral:rRNA from 1 species
GGGAUUAGUGGCGAACGGGUGAGUAACACGUGAGUAACCUGCCCUUGACUCUGGGAUAAGCCUGGGAAACUGGGUCUAAUACCGGAUAUGACCUUCCAUCGCAUGGUGGUUGGUGGAAAGCUUUUGUGGUUUUGGAUGGACUCGCGGCCUAUCAGCUUGUUGGUGGGGUAAUGGCCUACCAAGGCGACGACGGGUAGCCGGCCUGAGAGGGUGACCGGCCACACUGGGACUGAGACACGGCCCAGACUCCUACGGGAGGCAGCAGUGGGGAAUAUUGCACAAUGGGCGCAAGCCUGAUGCAGCGACGCCGCGUGAGGGAUGACGGCCUUCGGGUUGUAAACCUCUUUCAGUAGGGAAGAAGCGAAAGUGACGGUACCUGCAGAAGAAGCGCCGGCUAACUACGUGCCAGCAGCCGCGGUAAUACGUAGGGCGCAAGCGUUAUCCGGAAUUAUUGGGCGUAAAGAGCUCGUAGGCGGUUUGUCGCGUCUGCCGUGAAAGUCCGGGGCUCAACUCCGGAUCUGCGGUGGGUACGGGCAGACUAGAGUGAUGUAGGGGAGACUGGAAUUCCUGGUGUAGCGGUGAAAUGCGCAGAUAUCAGGAGGAACACCGAUGGCGAAGGCAGGUCUCUGGGCAUUAACUGACGCUGAGGAGCGAAAGCAUGGGGAGCGAACAGGAUUAGAUACCCUGGUAGU